rnacentral:rRNA from 1 species
UACGUAGGGACCAAGCGUUGUUCGGAUUUACUGGGCUUAAAGAGUUCGUAGGCGGCGCGGAAAGUAGGGUGUGAAAGCCCUCGGCUCAACCGAGGAAUUGCGCUCUAAACUACCGUGCUCGAGGAAGCUAGAGGUGAGCGGAACUGAUGGUGGAGCGGUGAAAUGCGUUGAUAUCAUCAGGAACACCGGAGGCGAAGGCGGCUCACUGGGGCUUUUCUGACGCUGAGGAACGAAAGCCAGGGGAGCGAACGGG